UACGAAGGGGGCUAGCGUUGUUCGGAAUCACUGGGCGUAAAGGGUGCGUAGGCGGGUCUUUUAAGUCAGGGGUGAAAUCCCGGGGCUCAACCCCGGAACUGCCUUCGAUACUGGGUAUCUUGAGUUCGGAAGGAGGUGAGUGGAAUUGCGAGUGUAGAGGUGAAAUUCGUAGAUAUUCGCAGGAACACCAGUGGCGAAGGCGGCUCACUGGUCCGAUACUGACGCUGAGGUGCGAAAGCGUGGGGAGCAAACAGG
rnacentral:rRNA from 1 species